rnacentral:rRNA from 1 species
UACGAAGGGGGCUAGCGUUGCUCGGAAUCACUGGGCGUAAAGGGUGCGUAGGCGGGUCUUUAAGUCAGGGGUGAAAUCCUGGAGCUCAACUCCAGAACUGCCUUUGAUACUGAGGAUCUUGAGUUCGGGAGAGGUGAGUGGAACUGCGAGUGUAGAGGUGAAAUUCGUAGAUAUUCGCAAGAACACCAGUGGCGAAGGCGGCUCACUGGCCCGGAACUGACGCUGAGGUGCGAAAGCCAGGGUAGCGGAACGGG